AGGGAGGGAGAGGGCCAAGGGGUUGGAAGGAUAGGGGUGAUGGGACAUGGUGGGGUGGGGUGGGGAAGAAAGGUGGUGGUUUUCCUCUUAAACUUUUUUCUUUUAUUUUUGCUCUUUAAUUAAAAUUGAGGUGUAAAAGUCAUUUAUAUCAUAUAUUCCUAGUCAUGUGAAAUGCACAUGACAUUUUAAUGACUUCUAGAGGAAUUAUGGGGACCCAAGUGCCAAGAAAAUUGAAGGUUGGGAAUCCAAACUGCCAUGAAAAAAUUGAAAGGGAAUCCAAAAGCUCAUUUAACUAUAGAAUGGGGACUGCCGAUACAAUUUUCUCUUCAUUCUGCUAAUAUAUUAUAUACCCUAUUGGUAUUGUUUGGUUCACUGGAUUGAACAGGAUAUAAACAAGACAACUAAUACACUAUAAGUUGCUUUAACGAUUUUCUGCUUUAUCGAGUUUUGAAACCAAGAAAAUUGAAAAGAAAGUGUACUAUCCAAAAGUUUGAAAAUAUAGUUCACUAUCUAAUAAACUAAUGAAAAGGAUGCAUCAGAAAAAUUGAUAUAACUAUGAAGAAAAAGCCGAAAGGUCUCUUAUGAAAACAAAAUCUCACUUAAUUAUCAGAUGAAGGAUUGUUGCAGAAUACACAAACUUCUUCAGAAUCAAUCAACUAAUUUACCACAACAGGAGUUAACACAUUGACAAGUUCUUGUUCAAAGAUUAUAACUGCACAUUUAUCUAGAAAAACUGAAAUCAAAUUUUAGCACAGUUUUUACUAUUCUUACAUUGAAAAUUCUAAAAAUUUUAUCGUGCAUUCAGUAUGGUAAGCCUGAACUUGUGCACAUAACAUUCUGUAUUAUUCAUGAAUGUCAAGGAACAUCAGCAACUAGUAGAAAACAUUAUAGAAUAGUAACUCAACUGACCAAUCGAAGGAGGUUUCAGUUCUCCAGCCGCAUAUUUUCCCAUGACACCUCCACACCUAUGAUGCAUGAAAUAUUUCUUGAAGGUCAGAAAAAUCAAAGUUCAUGCAUCUAAUCAGUGCUCUAAAUUAUGAUAUCAGUUAAAGCAAAAAGAAAAGACACAAUCAUCAAUGAUAAUAUCCAAAUUAACUUUUUACAUUGUUCAAGCAGCAUAGAAAGCUAUUGGUUUGUAAAGUAUGUGCUUAAAUGAUGCAGGUUACUUUUGAAUAAAAUCUUUAGCCCCAGCAUAAACACAACUGAUCUUUUGUGUGGUUCAAUACCAGGAAGCAAGGAAACCACAACAACAAAAAACUAAUCCUUAUUUCAAAUAAUUUAUGGUCCAACUAUGCCACCCCAUUCGGUUCAUUGUUACGUCUAUUGAAAGAUCCAAAGCAACUAGAUUCUUCGCAAACGCAACAUGCUAAGAUAGUUUUUGACUAUCCCUCCCUUUCCUAACAUAUUCUAGAGAUAUUGCACUCUCUUAUGAAUAGGUACCUCUCUAGGUCUAUGCGAGACAUAUCCCAACAACCCAUGUCAUCUUCCCUUAAUUUAUAUCAUUGGAUGCAACCUCUACUCGUUAGCGUAUUUCUCAUUUCUUACCUUAUUCAUACUAGUAAGAACACGCAUCUAUCUUAGCAUCCUCAUUUUCUAUGCUCAUCUUAUGGGAAUCUUGUCAUGAAUUUUAUCUCUUCACAAACACCACAAUCAGUUUACUAACUUGGAUCUUGAUCCAAAUACUACAUUUUCUUGGAAAUUUCAUCGCGCCAUUUCAAGUUUCUCAGAAAUUUAUCGAUAGUGGCACAUUAAAAAGUCCAUUUCUAGACUACCAAAUUUUCUUCUUAGUACCAGUCACAUUUCCAUUUAAUGUGUACAACUCCUACACCCCUUCAUUUGGAGAUAUCCUAGAUUGAACCAUCAAUUGUUGUGCAAUUGCGAAUCUAUCACAUUAGUUUGCACAUAAUAUUUGACUGUAAAUUGUCAUAAGAUGACUCAUAACUCUGGUUGAGAUGACCAAAGAAGUACAAUAGACUUGUAUUUUAUUGUUUAUUAUGUUUAUCCACUGCAACAAAGUGCCAACAAUCAGGUAUCUCCACCUGCUAGUUCUUAAUUGUCAUGAUUCUGAAAAGAUUUGAAGUAUCCAUGAUGAUCAAUCACUUAGUUUCCCCU
rnacentral:lncRNA from 1 species